GCGAUCGUGGCGGAACGGCAGACGCGCCAGCUUGAGGGGCUGGUGUCCAUUAGGGCGUGGUGGUUCAAAUCCACUCGGUCGCA
rnacentral:tRNA from 1 species